rnacentral:rRNA from 1 species
CCCUUAGAUGUUCUGGGCCGCACGCGCGCUACACUGAUGCAUUCAACGAGUUUUUCCUGGUCCGAGAGGAAUGGGUAACCUUUUGAAAGUGCAUCGUGCUAGGGAUAGACUAUUGCAAUUAUUGGUCUUCAACGAGGAAUUCCUAGUAGACGUAGUUCAUCAGACUGCAUCGAUUACGUCCCUGCCCUUUGUACACACCGCCCGUCGCUCCUACCGAUUGAACGUGCUGGUGAAGCGUUAGGACUGGCGCCACGUGUCGGGUCCCCCUUCAACGGGGCGCCGGGAAUUUCGUUGAACCCUCCCGUUUAGAGGAAGGAGAAGUCGUAACA